GACGAACGCUGGCGGCGUGCUUAACACAUGCAAGUCGAACGGCAAGGCACUGCGUUUGUGGGGUGCUCGAGUGGCGAACGGGUGAGUAACACGUGAGUAACCUGCCCUUGUCUUUGGGAUAACUUCAGGAAACUGGGGCUAAUACCGGAUAGGAGCUCCUGCUGCAUGGUGGGGGUUGGAAAGUUUCGGCGGUUGGGGAUGGACUCGCGGCUUAUCAGCUUGUUGGUGGGGGAGUGGCUUACCAAGGCUUUGACGGGUAGCCGGCCUGAGAGGGUGACCGGCCACAAUGGGACUGAGGUACGGCCCAGACGCCUACGGGAGGCAGCAGUGGGGAAUAUUGCACAAUGGGCGGAGGCCUGAUGCAGCAACGCCGCGUGCGGGAUGACGGCCUUCGGGUUGUAAACCGCUUUCGCCUGUGACGAAGCGUGAGUGACGGUAAUGGGUAAAGAAGCACCGGCUAACUACGUG
rnacentral:rRNA from 1 species